rnacentral:rRNA from 1 species
UACGUAGGGCGCAAGCGUUAUCCGGAAUUAUUGGGCGUAAAGAGCUCGUAGGCGGUUUGUCGCGUCUGCCGUGAAAGUCCGGGGCUCAACUCCGGAUCUGCGGUGGGUACGGGCAGACUAGAGUGAUGUAGGGGAGACUGGAAUUCCUGGUGUAGCGGUGAAAUGCGCAGAUAUCAGGAGGAACACCGAUGGCGAAGGCAGGACUCUGGGCAUUAACUGACGCUGAGGAGCGAAAGCAUGGGGAGCGAACAGG